AUUGAACGCUGGCGGCAUGCCUUACACAUGCAAGUCGAACGGUAGAGUAGUAAUACUCGAGAGUGGCGAACGGGUGAGUAAUAUAUCGGAACGUGCCCAGUCGUGGGGGAUAACGUAGAGAAAUUUACGCUAAUACCGCAUACGAUCUAAGGAUGAAAGCGGGGGAUUCGCAAGAACCUCGCGCGAUUGGAGCGGCUGAUAUCAGAUUAGGUUGUUGGUGAGGUAAAAGCUCACCAAGCCGACGAUCUGUAGCUGGUUUGAGAGAACGACCAGCCACACUGGGACUGAGACACGGCCCAGACUCCUACGGGAGGCAGCAGUGGGGAAUUUUUGGGACAAUGGGCGAAAGCCUGAUCCAGCAAUGCCGCGUGCAGGGAAGAAGGGCCUUCGGGUUGUAAACUGCUUUUUGUACGGAACGAAACGGUUCGCUUUAAUACAGUGGGCUAAUGACGGUACCGUAAGAAUAAGCACCGGCUAACUACGU
rnacentral:rRNA from 1 species